rnacentral:rRNA from 1 species
AGGUCACUGACAUUAGAUACCCGUGUAGUCCAGGGUGUAAACGCUGCAGACUUGGUGUUGGAAGUCCUUUGGGGGCAUUCAGUGCCGGAGAGAAGUUGUUAAGUCUGCUACUUGGGAGUACGUCCGCAAGGAUGAAACUUAAAGGAAUUGGCGGGGGAGCACCGCAACGGGAGGAGCGUGCGGUUUAAUUGGAUUCAACACCGUAAACUCACCAGGGAAGACUGUUACAUGAAAGCCGAGAUGAAGACUCUGCUAGAUUUUCAG